rnacentral:rRNA from 1 species
AGGAGAGUUUGAUCCUGGCUCAGGAUGAACGCUAGCGGCAGGCUUAACACAUGCAAGUCGAGGGGCAGCGCGGGGUAGCAAUACUCUGGCGGCGACCGGCGGAAGGGUGCGUAACGCGUGAGCAACAUGCCCGUGGCAGGGGGAUAAGCGAUGGAAACGUCGUCUAAGACCCCGUAACAACAGGGUUCGCAUGGACUUUGUUUGAAAGCUUCGGCGGCCACGGAUUGGCUCGCGUCCCAUUAGGCAGUUGGCGGGGUAACGGCCCACCAAACCGACGAUGGGUAGGGGUUCUGAGAGGAAGGUCCCCCACAAUGGAACUGAGACACGGUCCAUACUCCUACGGGAGGCAGCAGUGAGGAAUAUUGGUCAAUGGGCGGAAGCCUGAACCAGCCAUGCCGCGUGCAGGAAUAAGGCCCUACGGGUCGUAAACUGCUUUUGUACGGGAGCAAUAAGGGUCACGAGUGGCCUGAUGAGAGUACCGUACGAAUAAGCAUCGGCUAACUCCGUGCCAGCAGCCGCGGUAAUACGGAGGAUGCGAGCGUUAUCCGGAUUCAUUGGGUUUAAAGGGUGCGUAGGCGGCGUGCCAAGUCAGGGGUGAAAGGUUCCGGCUCAACUGGGACAGUGCCUUUGAUACUGGUGUGCUGGAGUGCGCUUGCCGUGGGAGGAAUGAGUGGUGUAGCGGUGAAAUGCUUAGAUAUCACUCAGAACACCGAUUGCGAAGGCAUCUCACGAAGGCGUAACUGACGCUGAGGCACGAAAGCGUGGGGAUCAAACAGGAUUAGAUACCCUGGUAGUCCCCU